GAUGAACGCUGGCGGCGUGCCUAAUACAUGCAAGUCGAGCGAACAGACGAGGAGCUUACUCCUCUGACGUUAGCGGCGGACGGGUGAGUAACACGUGGAUAACCUACCUAUAAGACUGGGAUAACUUCGGGAAACCGGAGCUAAUACCGGAUAACAUGUUGAACCGCAUGGUUCAACAGUGAAAGACGGUCUUGCUGUCACUUAUAGAUGGAUCCGCGUCGCAUUAGCUAGUUGGUAAGGUAACGGCUUACCAAGGCAACGAUGCGUAGCCGACCUGAGAGGGUGAUCGGCCACACUGGAACUGAGACACGGUCCAGACUCCUACGGGAGGCAGCAGUAGGGAAUCUUCCGCAAUGGGCGAAAGCCUGACGGAGCAACGCCGCGUGAGUGAAGAAGGUCUUCGGAUCGUAAAACUCUGUUAUUAGGGAAGAACAAAUGUGUAAGUAACUAUGCACAUCUUGACGGUACCUAAUCAGAAAGCCACGGCUAACUACGUG
rnacentral:rRNA from 1 species